AUGUUUAAAAAGAAAAUCGGCCAAUUGAAACUCAAGCUUCUCAUUUCUGGCAUGCUUAAAACCCAGCAUGUAAAUGUGGCCCCUGAGAGAGGCAAAGACAAGCUUACAAACAGAUGUUUUCACAGGUUCUUGUGUCUCAGCUCUGCAUCUCUGGCAAAUAGCUACGAAAAAGAGAAGACAGCUCUACAAAAAUCAGUAGAAGCAGCAGCACAGAGCCAUCAAACCUGAUACUAUAAAUCCUAAAAGCCACAAUUUCCACACAGACAAAUCUCUCAUAAAAACUCAAUAAAUAAAAUGUGUUCCACA
rnacentral:lncRNA from 1 species